GUGGGGAAUAUUGGACAAUGGGCGCAAGCCUGAUCCAGCCAUGCCGCGUGAGUGAUGAAGGCCUUCGGGUUGUAAAGCUCUUUAGUCCACGAAUAUAAUGACUGUAGUGGAAGAAUAAGCCCCGACUAACUUCGUGCCAGCAGCCGCGGUAAUACGAAGGGGGCGAGCGUUAUUCGGAAUCACUGGGCGUAAAGCGUGCGUAGGCUGUUUUGUAAGUCAGAAGUGAAAGCCCAGGGCUUAACCCUGGAAUUGCUUUUGAAACUACAAGACUCGAAUUCGGGAGAGGAUAGCGGAAUUGUCAGUGUAGCAGUGAAAUGCGUAGAUAUUGACAGGAACACCAGUGGCGCAAGCGGCUAUCUGGACCGAUAUUGACGCUGAGGCACGAAAGCGUGGGGAGCAAACAGGAUUAGAAACCCGAGUAGUCC
rnacentral:rRNA from 1 species